GACGAACGCUGGCGGCGUGCCUAAUACAUGCAAGUAGAACGCUGAAGGAGGAGCUUGCUUCUCUGGAUGAGUUGCGAACGGGUGAGUAACGCGUAGGUAACCUGCCUGGUAGCGGGGGAUAACUAUUGGAAACGAUAGCUAAUACCGCAUAAUAGUAGAUGUUGCAUGACAUUUGCUUAAAAGGUGCAAUUGCAUCACUACCAGAUGGACCUGCGUUGUAUUAGCUAGUUGGUGGGGUAACGGCUCACCAAGGCGACGAGACAUAGCCGACCUGAGAGGGGGAUCGGCCACACUGGGACCGGGACACGGCCCAGAAUCCUAAGGGAGGCAGCAGGAGGGAAUCUUCGGCAAUGGACGGAAGUCUGACCGAGCAACGCCGGGGGAGGGAAGAAGGUUUUCGGAUCGGAAAGCUCUGUUGUAAGAGAAGAACGAGUGUGAGAGUGGAAAGUUCACAUUGUGACGGUACCUUAUCAGAAAGCGACGGCUAACUACGUG
rnacentral:rRNA from 1 species